rnacentral:rRNA from 1 species
UUGACCUACGGGGGGCAGCAGUGAGGAAUAUUGGUCAAUGGGCGGGAGCCUGAACCAGCCAAGUCGCGUGAGGGAAGAAGGUACUGAGUAUUGUAAACCUCUUUUGCCAGGGGACAAAGGCGGCCACGGGUGGCCGUAAGAGGGUACCUGGAGAAAAAGCAUCGGCUAACUCCGUGCCAGCAGCCGCGGUAAUACGGAGGAUGCGAGCGUUAUCCGGAUUUAUUGGGUUUAAAGGGUGCGUAGGCGGAUUGAUAAGUUAGAGGUGAAAUGUCCGAGCUCAACUCGGGAACUGCCUCUAAUACUGU